GGACAACCAUGAAGUGGUACACUGAAUAGGACUCCCUGUGUUCUUGCUUACCACACUAAGAACCAGACCUGCUGUGCACCUACUGGUUAGAUGCCUUUCAAACUUGUCUUCUGCCUAAGGGCUAUCAGAUGCGCAGCUGAGGUGAAGAGAGCAGUUUUUCUGUUGUGACUCCGUGUAACUUGGGGACCUGGUGCUCACUGUGGUGCCUAAAAUCAAGAGGAUGCAGAAACGUCUGCUCUCUGUAGUGCUAGCCAGUCUUGCAGUGCUGACACAACACAAUGGAAAAAAGAAAGAAAAGUGAACAUCACAUAAAGACUAUGGAUGAAGGAAGACUUUAAGGGGAUCACAGUGAUAUAAGGUGAACUGUAACGAAUAACUUGGUGGCAGAACGAAGGAAGAAUUAUAGCAAAUCCCAUCAGCAGGGAUGCUGCCCGGCAUUCCCACCGACGUCCCAAGGAAAAUUCUCAGACUCUCAACGUGUGAUUACGUUUCCUUUUAGUGACUUGUUGACACAUGGACGCAU